rnacentral:rRNA from 1 species
GGAAUCUUAGACAAUGGGGGAAACCCUGAUCUAGCCAUGCCGCGUGGACGAUGAAGGCCUUAGGGUUGUAAAGUCCUUUCAGCUGGGAAGAUAAUGACGGUACCAGCAGAAGAAGCCCCGGCUAACUCCGUGCCAGCAGCCGCGGUAAUACGGAGGGGGCUAGCGUUGUUCGGAAUUACUGGGCGUAAAGCGCACGUAGGCGGAUUGGAAAGUCAGAGGUGAAAUCCCAGGGCUCAACCUUGGAACUGCCUUUGAAACUAUCAGUCUAGAGUUCGAGAGAGGUGAGUGGAAUUCCGAGUGUAGAGGUGAAAUUCGUAGAUAUUCGGAGGAUCACCAGUGGCGAAGGCGGCUCACUGGCCCGCAACUGACGCUGAGGUGCGAAAGCGUGGGGAGCAAAC